rnacentral:rRNA from 1 species
AUUGAACGCUGGCGGCAUGCCUUACACAUGCAAGUCGAACGGUAACAGGUCUUCGGAUGCUGACGAGUGGCGAACGGGUGAGUAAUAUAUCGGAACGCGCCCAGUCGUGGGGGAUAACGCAGCGAAAGCUGUGCUAAUACCGCAUACGAUCUAUGGAUGAAAGCGGGGGAUCGCAAGACCUCGCGCGAUUGGAGCGGCCGAUAUCAGAUUAGGUAGUUGGUGGGGUAAAGGCCCACCAAGCCAACGAUCUGUAGCUGGUCUGAGAGGACGACCAGCCACACUGGAACUGAGACACGGUCCAGACUCCUACGGGAGGCAGCAGUGGGGAAUUUUGGACAAUGGGCGCAAGCCUGAUCCAGCAAUGCCGCGUGCAGGAUGAAGGCCCUCGGGUUGUAAACUGCUUUUGUACAGAACGAAAAGGCUCCGGUUAAUACCUGGGGCUCAUGACGGUACUGUAAGAAUAAGCACCGGCUAACUACGUGCCAGCCGCCGCCGUAACAC